rnacentral:rRNA from 1 species
UUAAGCAUAUCAAUAAGCGGAGGAAAAGAAACCAACAGGGAUUACCUCAGUAACGGCGAGUGAAGCGGUAACAGCUCAAAUUUGAAAGCUAGCUCUUCUAGGGUUCGCAUUGUAAUUUGUAGAAGAUGCUUCGGGUGUGGCCCCGGUCUAAGUUCCUUGGAACAGGACGUCAUAGAGGGUGAGAAUCCCGUAUGUGACUGGGUGCUUUCGCUCAUGUGAAGCUCUUUCGACGAGUCGAGUUGUUUGGGAAUGCAGCUCAAAAUGGGUGGUAAAUUUCAUCUAAAGCUAAAUAUUGGCCAGAGACCGAUAGCGCACAAGUAGAGUGAUCGAAAGAUGAAAAGCACUUUGGAAAGAGAGUUAAACAGUACGUGAAAUUGUUGAAAGGGAAGCGCUUGCAACCAGACUUGCGCGCUGAUGAUCAUCCGGGCUUCUGCCCGGUGCACUCGUCUGCGCUCAGGCCAGCAUCGGUUUCGGUGGUGGGAUAAAGGCCUUGGGAAUGUAGCUUCUUUCGGGGAGUGUUAUAGCCCUCGGUGCAAUGCCGCCUACCGGGACCGAGGACCGCGCUUCGGCUAGGAUGCUGGCGUAAUGGUUGUAAGCGACCCGUCUUGAAACACGGACCAAGGAGUCUAACAUCUAUGCGAGUGUUUGGGUGUCAAACCCAUACGCGUAAUGAAAGUGAACGGAGGUGAGAACCCUUAAGGGUGCAUCAUCGACCGAUCCUGAUGUCUUCGGAUGGAUUUGAGUAAGAGCAUAGCUGUUGGGACCCGAAAGAUGGUGAACUAUGCGUGAAUAGGGUGAAGCCAGAGGAAACUCUGGUGGAGGCUCGCAGCGGUUCUGACGUGCAAAUCGAUCGUCAAAUUUGCGUAUAGGGCGAAA